UACGUAGGGUGCUAGCGUUGUUCGGAAUCAUUGGGCGUAAAGCGCGUGUAGGUGGUUAAGUAAGUCGGGUGUGAAAUCCCUCGGCUCAACCGAGGAAGUGCAUCCGAAACUACUUAGCUAGAGGACGGUAGAGGAAGGUGGAAUUCCAAGUGUAGAGGUGAAAUUCGUAGAUAUCUGGAGGAACACCGGUGGCGAAGGCGGCAUCCUGGACCGACACUGACGCUGAGGAGCGAAAGCCAGGGGAGCAAACGGG
rnacentral:rRNA from 1 species